GACGAACGCUGGCGGCGUGCUUAACACAUGCAAGUCGAGCGGUAAGGCCCUUUCGGGGGUACACGAGCGGCGAACGGGUGAGUAACACGUGGGUGACCUGCCUUUAGCUCUGGGAUAAGCCUGGGAAACUGGGUCUAAUACCGGAUAUGACCCUAUGGCGCAUGUUGUGGGGUGGAAAGCCUUGUGCGGCUAGGGAUGGGCCCGCGGCCUAUCAGCUUGUUGGUGGGGUGGAUGGCCUACCAAGGCGACGACGGGUAGCCGGCCUGAGAGGGCGACCGGCCACACUGGGACUGAGACACGGCCCAGACUCCUACGGGAGGGCAGCAGUGGGGAAUCUUGCGCAAUGGGCGAAAGCCUGACGCAGCGACGCCGCGUGA
rnacentral:rRNA from 1 species